UACGGGAGGCAGCAGUGGGGAAUAUUGCACAAUGGGCGCAAGCCUGAUGCAGCCAUGCCGCGUGUAUGAAGAAGGCCUUCGGGUUGUAAAGUACUUUCAGUCGUGAGGAAGGUGUUAAGGUUAAUAACCUUAGCAAUUGACGUUAGCGACAGAAGAAGCACCGGCUAACUCCGUGCCAGCAGCCGCGGUAAUACGGAGGGUGCGAGCGUUAAUCGGAAUUACUGGGCGUAAAGGGCACGCAGGCGGUUAAUUAAGUUGGAUGUGAAAUCCCCGGGCUUAACCUGGGAAUGGCAUUCAAGACUGGUUAGCUAGAGUCUUGUAGAGGGGGUAGAAUUCCGAUGUGUAGCGGUGAAAUGCGUAGAGAUGUGGAGGAAUACCGGGUGGCGAAGGCGGCCCCUGGGACAAAGACUGACGCUCAUGUGCGAAAGCGUGGGGAGCAAACAGGGAUUAGAUACC
rnacentral:rRNA from 1 species